UUGAAUCCCUGAUUUCUGGAUUUGGGAUUCAACCCCCUAAUUUUCUAAAUUUGGAUUCGAAUCUGAAAUCCCUAAUCUCCCAUCUGGAUUUGGGGUUCUAAUAUGGACAACGAUUUAAGGAUUUGGGGAUUUAGCAAUUUGUGGAUUUCUGAUUCGAUGUGGACCCUCAUUUAGGGAUUUGGGGAUUUUAGGGCUUAUAGAUUUGAAUGUGGACCCCGAAUCGGGGAUUUUCUGAUAUUGCAAAUUAGGGAUUUGGGGAUUUUAGAAUUUUAUGGAUUUCAGAUGUUCCAAGAAUUGUUGUUUUAUCAGGAAUAGGUGGGAAUUCAUAUAUCACAAGAUUUGAGGGUUUUAAAAUAAAAAUGUAGUGUAGUAGUCAGUGUUUUAUUUUAUUUUAUUCUUGGUAUUUUUGACAUCUGAAAAUAGGUUUUUGGAUUUUUGCCUUUCAAUGCGUAGGUGUUCUCUAAGUUUUUACUUUCUUUUGCCUUUCUGUAUCUAUGGUCUGAAGAUGGGGACUUUUGCUGAGAAUAGGGCUGGUAUGUGGGCCAUACUAAGGGAAAUAAUUGGAUUGGCUGAGACUGUGAUUCAGGUGGGCCAUACUAAGGGAAAUAUUUUUAUGAAUUAUGUUUUCUGAUUUAUUUUCUUUUUAUAAAUGAAAAUGGUCCAGCAUCCGAGAUAA